AUGGAGAGAUUUGUUGGGUGGACGCCGACAUCCUUGCCGUCGUCCGGUUGCAGGGUAGUUCUUACAAAAAGAGGCAAGCUGAAGAGGAAGGUUGCAAGAAGGAGAGCAACUGUGCAUUGUUAUGAUUGCCUCUUCCUCCUGUUGCUAAGUGUCACAAGCAAAAGGACCAAGUGCGGGCGGGUGAGCAUCAGGAGUCCAGUUGAUUGGCUUCGACCUUUGAGUUAUUGCUGGCUAGCAGUGCCACUUCUGAGCGUCUCCUCACCCCUCACNNNNNNNNNNNNNNNNNNNGUGGCACUUUUGCUUGUGUCUUGUUAUCUUUUCGAAAUGGUGAAGCUGACAAUGAUAGCCUGUAUCACUGAUGGCCUUUCAUUAGCGGAGUGCUUAGAUGGUGGUUAUGUUAAGGAUGUUGUCUUCUACAAGCAGCAAGCAAAAUUGUUGUUCAAAAACAUAUAUAAAGGCCAACAUGAAUCAUCAAGACUGUCAACUGAGACUGGACCACACCAUUCCAGGUUAAGGGGCGUAUGGCGGUGA
rnacentral:rRNA from 1 species